rnacentral:antisense_RNA from 1 species
UUCUAUGGUGGUUCAGGCAGGGGAGGCUAUGCCUCGCCGGAGUAAGCGCCGGUCCGCGAACCCUGUCUGAAUCGCCACCAUC